UGACAGCUGGCAAAAGACUAAGCACUAAAGAAAACGCCUUGCUGUCCACCCCACACAAACUUCGUAGUGCAUCAGGGGCAUUUACAAUGCUUUCAUAUCCAACAAAGUAGCAAGCCCUCGUGUGCGGUCCAACCACACGUGGAACCAUCCCACCAGUCAUCAGUUUGGGCUGGUGUUUCAAGUCGCAAGGUACCUGCAGAAGUCAAAUCCUCUUUUAGAGGUCUGGGGCAGCCUUCAUCAUUGCGAGUUGAUGCUGGGGGAAAGCCACCAUGUAUGUCUGCUCUUUUCUGGUCAGCAAGAGAUCGAGUUUAGUCGGAACACUCUGCAGGCUUCUGUUGCCCAGCGUUGGUUGAUGGCUGCAUGGUAAGUAAAAGGUGCGUAAAUGUAAAGACAUCGAUAGCUACAAAUUUGUAAUGUGAAGGAAGUGAUAAUCUUCAGAAACGCAAUAAUUAUACACCGCAAAGGCGAGUAGUUCUGCCGAGAAAAAUUUUCAGCUUACAUUUUCGCUUCUCGCCUCAAAGGUUUCCUCAGAUGCAGCUUGCAUGUCUGGAACGUUGCUCCCAGCAGCGCAGGAACUCGGCUUCAGGCCCCGCUCGCCGUCGAAGGGCAGAAAGCGCUCCAGAUCACGUGACUUGCAGGUGUGCUUCGAAGGAGGAGGGCAGACACCUGGCGACAAGGUGACAUCUGGAACAGCCUGGGCCGACAAAGUGAAAGGCUUCACUCAUCGCAAAUUUCCUAGUACCAACAUGCCUCGUUUAAAGAACACCCUGGCCUCGCCUCUCGCAUGGGACCUAAAUCCUCCGAAGAGCCCAAGUUGGACACCUCAUACCUGAAACAGGAGCUGCGGAUUUCGUGGUGAAAGUGGUUACUCGAAGCCCGACUGGAGGCUCAAGCGGUCCGGUGAACUUAUCGCCGGACUUCAACGGCGCUCCUCGUUCAGCAAAUUAAAUGGGUUGCACAGUAGCUCAACAGUGA